rnacentral:rRNA from 1 species
UACGUAGGGGGCAAGCGUUGUCCGGAAUCAUUGGGCGUAAAGAGCGUGUAGGCGGCUUGGUAAGUCCGCUGUGAAAGUCCAGGGCUCAACCCUGGAAAGCCGGUGGAAACUGUCAGGCUUGAGUCCGGAAGAGGCGAGUGGAAUUCCUGGUGUAGCGGUGAAAUGCGCAGAUAUCAGGAGGAACACCAAUGGCGAAGGCAGCUCGCUGGGACGGUACUGACGCUGAGACGCGAAAGCGUGGGGAGCAAACAGG